rnacentral:lncRNA from 1 species
CUUCCUCUUGUGAUCCUGUGAGUCAAUUCUCCUUAAUAAAUUCCCCUUCAUAUAUACAUCUAUCCUAUUAGUUCUGUCCCGCUAGAGAACACUGCAGAAAACACUGCAUUUAUGAAACCACAUAAAUGGUGUUGUGUGAAAAAAUUAGUUAUCUUGAUGACUAAUGACUCCUGGAGAAAAAUCAAGACACAGAUAAGUUGGGCUGCCAAUAGCUCAUCAGAUGUCUUUGAGAAGAUGAGGCAAAACUACCCUUCCUUGGACUUUCUGCCACUUGAGGAUACAAGGAGAAGUUGUCAGCCUGCAACCCAGAAGACCCUCACCAGAACUGGACUAUGGUGGCACUCGAUGUCAACUUUCCAGCCUCCAGAACAGCUGACUCAUGACUGAUGACUCCAGGGAAAAAUCAAGACACAGGAGAGGAAGGGUAUUCCCGUUCAUCCCAGUAAUGCUAAUCGAGGAAAUGGUCCUCGAGGAAAUGACGCUGCAGCAACAGCAUCACCUGGGGACUUGUUAGCAACAGAAGUUCUCAGACUCCGCCAUAGAACUACUGAAUCAGAAAUUCUGGAAUAAGGCCCAGCAUUCCAUGUUCUAACAAACCUUCCAGGUGACUGUAAUGUACAUUCAAGUUUAAGAACCACUGUAAUAGACCCAUUUCUUGGUUGAUUAAAUGGAUCUUAUAUUGUAAAUAAGCAGAAUAGUCAAAUGUUCCUUCACACAAUAGGCUAGGGCUGCUAUUUGACAGGAUCAUGGUCGUUUUAACAGGAGGAAUAUGAUGAAUCUGAAAAAUGGAAACAAUAUUUGCAAUGGCAGUUGUGUGUCCCUAUGCAACAUGAGGUGGGGAGGCCUUGAGGAUUCCACUGAUGGAAAGAAUUGAGCUGAAAUCUGAGCACCUGCCAUCCUCUUCCUCCUCUCCCCUCCCAACAUCUGCAUGGAACCACAGCCCUCCCCUCUUUCCUUUGGAGCCAGUGAAGCAUGGAAAGGGGAAAGUCAUUCCCAGCAUCCACCAAGGUUUAGAGGUAGUGUCAUAAGCAAACAUCUAUACCAGCAAGUUCUCCAGUAAGGAGGGGCAGAGGCAGCGUGUGGGCCACACACUGAGUUUGAAAAGUAGCAGAGUUUGAAAAGGAGUUAAGGAGUUAUGGGCAAGAGAUUAGGUGGCCAGUGGGAGGAGAUUGAGAAUAAAGCAAACCAGAAACCCUCAAAGACCUGAGGCAUGUGGCUUGAAGAGCAGGUGAGAAGUUUUUGCCUGCCCAUGCAGUUAAAUGUCGCAAAUCCCAGUUCAUUCUAAUUGAUGCAGCUUUAGGAAUGAUUUUACAGUAAAAACCCACUGCUUAGAAUGUCAUUUUAGUUCAUUCUGGGAAGACAGGUGAAGUGGCACUCCAUCCUGGAAAGACAGCUCUGCUUUCUGAUCAGGUAGGACUUUCUCACUCUCUCUCACACUUCAAGUUGAAAAUUCAACAGCCAACUAAACCAAACAGCCCGCAGACAGUUGCCUCUGACUGACCAUUGUCAACAGCAAUGUCUCUUUGUUCUCUGUGAAGUAAGUGGAAUAAAUGGAGCACUGCCUUAAUGCCCUUGCCAACUGAGUACUCAAUAGUUCUGUUGUUUAAGGGCUCAACCCCUCCCACUACCCAGAGAAUAAUGUGCUCUGAAAUCUAGUGACAACCCAAGGUAGACUGGGCACUCUGGAAAGGAGGCAUGGCCUGCUUGUUAUAAUGCUUGUGAUAUCAGACAUUUUUAGAACUAGAAUGAAGUGAAGGAUAUUGAAAAUUCCAAAAAAGGCAAGGCACAGUGGCUCAUACCUGUAAUCCCAGUACUUUGAGAGGCCGAGGAGGGCAGAUCACCGGAGGUUGGGAGUUCCAGACCAGUCUGGCCAGCAUGGUGAAAC